CACUAGGAGAGGGGGAUGAUGGAUGCGGUCUUACCAUGCAAGUCGACGAUGAAGCCCAGCUUGCUGGGUGGAUUAGUGGCGAACGGGUGAGUAACACGUGAGCAACCUGCCCCUGACUCUGGGAUAAGCGCUGGAAACGGCGUCUAAUACUGGAUAUGUGCCAUGGCCGCAUGGUCUGUGGUUGGAAAGAUUUUUCGGUUGGGGAUGGGCUCGCGGCCUAUCAGCUUGUUGGUGAGGUAAUGGCUCACCAAGGCGUCGACGGGUAGCCGGCCUGAGAGGGUGACCGGCCACACUGGGACUGAGACACGGCCCAGACUCCUACGGGAGGCAGCAGUGGGGAAUAUUGCACAAUGGGCGGAAGCCUGAUGCAGCAACGCCGCGUGAGGGAUGACGGCCUUCGGGUUGUAAACCUCUUUUAGCAGGGAAGAAGCGAGAGUGACGGUACCUGCAGAAAAAGCACCGGCUAACUACGUGCCAGCAGCCGCGGUAAUACGUAGGGUGCAAGCGUUAUCCGGAAUUAUUGGGCGUAAAGAGCUCGUAGGCGGUCUGUCGCGUCUGCUGUGAAAUCCCGAGGCUCAACCCUCGGGCUUGCAGUGGGUACGGGCAGACUAGAGUGCGGUAGGGGGAGAUUGGUAAUUCCUGGGUGUAGCGGGUGGAAUGCGCAGAUAUCAGGAGGAACACCGAUGGCGAAAGCAGAUCUCUGGGCCGUAACUGACGCUGAGGAGCGAAAUGGGUGGGGAGCAAACAGGCUUAGAUACCCUGGUAGUCCCACCCCCGUAAACGUUGGGGAAACUAGUUGUGGGGGUCCUUUCCACGGGAUUUCCGUGACGCAGCUACGCAUUUAAGUUCCCCCGCCCUGGGGGAGUACGGCCGGCAUGCCUAAAACUCAAAGGAACGGACUGGGAACCGGCACAGCGCCGGACCCAUGCCGAUAGUCGAUGCCACGCGUAGAUCUUACCAAUGGCUUGACAUUAACCUGAGACUGGUCUAGAAUGGACC
rnacentral:rRNA from 1 species